rnacentral:lncRNA from 1 species
ACUUUCCUCCUUUACUACUCAGUUGAGCAUUAAACCCUCCUCUCUUUGAGUAUCGCAUAGAUACACCAAGAUUAGGGCUCAGAUUUAACUUAGCCUUUUUUGAUGAUGUGGUGGGCCUACCAGUUAGAUAUAUACCCUUAAAGCCAAUUAAUUAUGUAAUAUAGGUAGUGUUAAGGACAUCUUUUGUAAUGACUUAUUAAGUUAUUUAUGGGCAAGAUCAAUUGUUUUAAUUCAUGAUCAUGUUAUCUUAUGAAAUACGAAACAACUAUAAUCCUAGAAAUAUAUAAGUGGACAUGAGAACUAUGUAAUGAGAUUGCAUACACUGAGACUUAUCAUGAUCCCUAAUUCUAAACGUGUUCCUGGUCAUAGGAGUAUCAAUUGGGCGUUGAUAUUCCGCCAAGACCAGUACAUGCAGUAUCUUCUCUAUAUGUAGAGAAUGAUGAGGUCUCAAGUCAUUGAGUGUGACGACACCAAGAUAUGUAUGUAGGUGCUUGCAGGAGAACGAGUACACUGAACGCAAUCAAAUACAUGAGUUCU